UACGGGGGGGGCAAGCGUUGUUCGGAAUUACUGGGCGUAAAGGGCUCGUAGGCGGCCAACUAAGUCCGACGUGAAAUCCCCAGGCUUAACCUGGGAACUGCGUCGGAUACUGGUUGGCUUGAAUCCGGGAGAGGGAUGCGGAAUUCCAGGUGUAGCGGUGAAAUGCGUAGAUAUCAGGAGGAACACCGAUGGCGAAGGCAGGUCUCUGGGCCAUAACUGACGCUGAGAAGCGAAAGCAUGGGGAGCGAACAGG
rnacentral:rRNA from 1 species